UCAGGAACUAAAAAUCUUAUAAUUCCUGCCCCUAUGAGGUGUAACCUGUGCAUGGAAGCUUUCACAUAAAUUGUGAUGAAGACAUUCUACCAGUUACCUUCCAGGUUGAUUUUAGAAGACACUACAUACAAUACACAUUCAAGAUAAUCGAUUCUUUAAGAAAAAUAAAAAAUGUCUAGAAAAUGUGUGUUAUCAUCUAUUAUAAUACUAGCUACCACUCUGCAAGUAAUGUCAUACAGUGUAAUACUUUCUCCAGAAUAUUACUGUCGAUGUUGGUAUUCAUUCAGUUACAUUUACC
rnacentral:misc_RNA from 1 species